GACGAACGCUGGCGGCGUGCCUAAUACAUGCAAGUCGAGUGCAGGAAGACGUUCUGAACCCUUCGGGGGGACGACGGUGGAAUGAGCGGCGGACGGGUGAGUAACACGUAAAGAACCUGCCCAUAGGUCUGGGAUAACCACGAGAAAUCGGGGCUAAUACCGGAUGUGUCAUCGGACCGCAUGGUCCGCUGAUGAAAGGCGCUCCGGCGUCGCCCAUGGAUGGCUUUGCGGUGCAUUAGCUAGUUGGUGGGGUAACGGCCCACCAAGGCGACGAUGCAUAGCUGGCCUGAGAGGGUGAUCGGCCACACUGGGACUGAGACACGGCCCAGACUCCUACGGGAGGCAGCAGUAGGGAAUCUUCCACAAUGGACGAAAGUCUGAUGGAGCAACGCCGCGUGAGCGAUGAAGGCUUUCGGGUCGUAAAGUUCUGUUGUAAGGGAAGAACAAGUGCCGCAGGCAAUGGCGGCACCUUGACGGUACCUUGCGAGAAAGCCACGGCUAACUACGUGCCAGCAGCCGCCGUAAUAC
rnacentral:rRNA from 1 species